GACAGAGGAUGCAGCGUUAUCCGGAAUGAUUGGGCGUAAAGCGUCUGUAGGUGGCUUUUAAGUCCGCCGUCAAUCCAGGCGUCAACCCUGGACAGGCGGUGGAACUACCAAGCUGGAGUACGGUACGGGCAGAGGGAAUUUCCGGUGGAGCGGUGAAAUGCGUAGAGAUCGGAAAGACACCAACGGCGAAAGCACUCUGCUGGGCCGAC
rnacentral:rRNA from 1 species